AAGUCGUAACAAGGUUUCCGUAGGUGAACCUGCGGAAGGAUCAUUAGUGAAAAGUUUAUACUUUACACACAAACAAACGUUGAACCAUCUCACUUGGCAGGUUCCUUGAAUUAGUCUGGUCUUUACUGACUGGAAGGCAUUUAGGGCCCCUAGGAAGGAGUGUAAAAACUCUGGAAUUUGGGUGUGUUGCAGCCUACCUGGCCUAGAGCGGAUGCUCGAAGCCUAAGCUAUGCAACAAUACAGGCUUGCUUCAUUGCUAUUUAUUCUGUUGGCUAUUUAAGUUUACAUUAUUGUCUAAAAAAUAAUCAAGAGUAUACAACCUUUAACAAUGGAUCUCUUGGCUCCU
rnacentral:misc_RNA from 1 species